rnacentral:rRNA from 1 species
AUGGCGUCGUCCAUGAGGCGGCGGCCGAGCCGCGGGGGCGGGGGCCCGGGGGCGGCGGCGGAGAACUGGGAGCGGCUGGUGCGGGCGGCGCUCAAGCGGGACCGGGCGGGCGGCGCGGCGGGGCCCUCCUCCGCCACCGCCGCCGCGCACGCCGGGCUCGCCUCCGCCGUGCCGCCCUCGCUCGGCCGCACCACCAACAUCGAGCAGAUCCUGCAGGCCGCCGACGACAUCGAGGACGACGACCCCAACGUCGCGCGGAUCCUUUGUGAACAAGCAUACAGCAUGGCUCAAAAUCUGGAUCCGAGCAGCGAUGGGAGAGGUGUUCUACAGUUCAAAACUGGUCUAGCAUCCGUGAUCAAGCAAAAGCUUGCUAAGAAGGACGGGGGUUCAAUCGACCGUCAGAAUGACAUCGAGGUGCUGUGGAAUUUCUACUUGGAGUACAAGAAGCGCCGUCGAGUUGAUGACAUGCAACGGGAGCAGGAGAUAAUGAGGGAAUCAGGAACUUUUAGCACCGAGAUGGGAGCUAGGGCUAUGGAAAUGAAAAAGAUCUACGCUACUUUGAGGGCUCUGCUUGAUGUUUUAGAAAUUCUUGUUGGACAAACACCGAGUGAUAGGCUUGGUAGACAGAUCCUAGAGGAGAUAAAGAAAAUAAAAAGAUCCGAUGCAGCUCUGAGAGGUGAACUUAUGCCUUAUAAUAUUAUACCCCUUGAUGCAUCAUCAGUGGGAAAUGUUGUUGGGUUUUUCCCUGAGGUCAGGGCUGCAAUAGCCGCAAUUCAAAACUGUGAGGAUCUGCCACGCUUUCCUUAUGACACACCACAGCUGAGACAGAAAGAUAUUUUUGACCUUCUGCAGUACGUAUUUGGCUUCCAGGAUGAUAAUGUUCGGAAUCAGCGUGAAAAUGUUGCACUUACCUUAGCCAAUGCCCAGUCCCGUCUGAGCUUGCCUAAUGAGACAGAACCGAAAAUAGAUGAGAAGGCUGUUACAGAAGUUUUCUGCAAAGUUCUGGACAACUACAUAAAAUGGUGUAGGUUCUUGGGCAAGCGUGUUGCAUGGACCAGCCUCGAAGCAGUAAACAAGAACAGAAAAAUCAUAUUGGUUGCUCUCUACUUUCUGAUUUGGGGCGAAGCUGCAAAUGUUCGCUUUCUUCCAGAAUGCCUGUGCUACAUUUUCCACAAUAUGGCAAAGGAACUUGAUGGGAUUCUUGAUUCAUCUGAAGCUGAACCUGCAAAGAGCUGUGUCACCAAUGAUGGUUCGACCUCAUAUCUGGAGAAAAUAAUUACUCCUAUAUAUCUAACGAUGUCCGCGGAGGCUAACAGUAACAAUGAUGGGAAAGCAGCACAUUCUGCAUGGCGGAAUUAUGAUGAUUUCAAUGAAUAUUUCUGGUCGCGCUCAUGCUUUGAGCUGAGUUGGCCACCUGCUGAGAAUUCCAAAUUUUUGCGCAAACCUGCUAAGAGGAAGCGUACGGGAAAGACCAACUUUGUUGAGCAUCGAACUUUUCUGCAUCUGUACCGCAGUUUUCAUCGGUUGUGGAUUUUCCUCAUAUUAAUGUUUCAGUGCUUAACUAUUAUAGCCUUUCACCGUGGGAAGAUAAACAUUAGUACUAUUAAAAUAGUACUUAGCGCCGGGCCAGCCUUUUUCAUACUGAACUUCAUUGAGUGCUGCUUGGAUGUGCUACUCAUGUUUGGUGCAUAUAAAACAGCCAGAGGUUUUGCCAUCUCACGAUUAGUAAUCCGAUUCGUUUGGUUAGCUGCAGUUUCAACAUUUGUGACCUAUCUUUAUGUGAAAGUCUUGGAUGAGAAAAAUUCAAGAAACAAUGAUUCAACUUAUUUCCGGAUUUAUAUUCUUGUUCUUGGUGGUUAUGCUGCGGUUAGGCUUGUGUUCGCAUCGUUGGCCAAGAUCCCAGCUUGCCACAGGCUGUCCAAUUACUCCGACCGUUCACAGUUUUUCCAGUUUUUCAAGUGGAUAUACCAAGAACGAUACUAUAUUGGACGGGGACUCUAUGAGAGUAUAGGCAACUAUGCCAGAUACGUGAUCUUUUGGUUGGUCAUAUUUGCAUGCAAAUUUACUUUUGCUUAUUAUCUCCAGAUUCGUCCUUUAGUUGUACCAACCAAUAUAAUCGUGCAACUCCAUGAUUUGCAGUAUUCUUGGCAUGAUUUUGUAUCAAAAGGAAAUAGAAAUGCUUUGACCAUUCUCAGUCUAUGGGCACCAGUCGUAGCUAUAUACCUGAUGGACAUACACAUUUGGUACACUCUUUUAUCUGCUCUUGUUGGUGGUGUUAUGGGUGCUAGAAGUCGCCUUGGGGAGAUUCGUUCAAUUGAAAUGCUUCAUAAACGUUUUGAGAGCUUUCCGGAAGCUUUUGCAAAAACCCUUUCCCCACAAAGGAUAUCUAGCAGGCCAGUUCCUCAGGAUUCAGAAGCUACUAAGAUGUAUGCCUCAAUAUUCUCCCCGUUUUGGAAUGAGAUUAUCAAGAGCUUGCGUGAAGAGGACUACAUUAGUAACAGGGAGAUGGAUCUGCUUAUGAUGCCAAGUAACUGUGGAAAUUUAAUGCUUGUACAAUGGCCAUUGUUUCUUCUUACUAGUAAGAUCAUGUUGGCGAAUGAUUAUGCAUCUGACUGCAAAGACUCCCAGAAAGAAUUAUGGCACAGAAUAUCAAAAGAUGAAUACAUGGCCUAUGCGGUCAAGGAAUGCUACUAUAGCGCAGAAAGAAUUCUGAACUCUAUAGUUGAUGGUGAAGGGAAGCUCUGGGUUGAACGCCUUUUCCAAAAUCUCAAUGACAGCAUAAGAGACGAUUCACUUUUGGUGACUAUAAAUCUGAAGAAGUUGCAGUUGGUCCAGUCACGUCUUACUGGUUUGACAGGACUUCUGAUUCGCGACGAGACUGCUGAUCGUAAAGCUGGUGUUACAAAAGCUCUCCGUGAGCUCUAUGAGGUUGUUACCCAUGAGUUUCUUGCACCAAAUCUGAGGGAACAAUUUGACACCUGGCAAUUACUGUUAAGAGCUAGGAAUGAUGGGCGUCUAUUCUCUAACAUUUUGUGGCCAAAUGAUCUGGAAAUGAAAGAACAAGUUAAGCGUUUACACUUACUUCUGACUGUCAAAGACUCCGCUGCAAACAUUCCAAAAAAUUUAGAAGCUCAGAGAAGGCUACAAUUUUUCACUAACUCUUUGUUCAUGGACAUGCCGGAAGCAAAGCCCGUCUCUGAGAUGAUCCCAUUCUGUGUAUUUACCCCAUACUACAGUGAGACUGUACUCUAUAGCAUGUCUGAGCUGUGUGUUGACAAUGAAGAUGGCAUUUCUAUACUUUUCUAUCUUCAAAAAAUCUUUCCUGAUGAGUGGGCCAACUUCUUAGAACGAAUUGGCCGUGGAGAAUCAUCAGAAGAGGAUUUUAAGGAAAGUCCAAGUGACACCUUAGAACUGCGGUUUUGGGUGUCAUACCGUGGCCAAACUUUGGCAAGGACAGUGAGGGGUAUGAUGUACUACAGACGAGCGUUGAUGUUGCAGAGUUACCUGGAGAAGCGAUAUCUUGGAGGCAUUGAAGAUGGGUAUUCUGCACUUGAAUAUAUUGACACUCAAGGGUAUCAGUUAUCUCCUGAUGCACGGGCCCAGGCAGAUCUAAAAUUUACAUACGUUGUUUCAUGUCAAAUAUAUGGACAACAGAAGCAAAGGAAGGCUCCAGAGGCUGCGGAUAUUGCUCUUUUAAUGCAAAGAAAUGAGGCCCUUCGGAUUGCUUUCAUACAUGAAGAGGAUGGUGUAUCGAGUGAUGGGCAAGCUAUAAAAGAAUAUCAUUCCAAGCUCGUGAAGGCUGAUAUUCACGGAAAAGAUCAAGAAAUAUACUCCAUUAAACUGCCUGGGAACCCCAAGCUUGGUGAGGGGAAACCUGAAAACCAAAAUCAUGCUAUAAUUUUUACUCGUGGAGAUGCAAUACAGACUAUCGAUAUGAAUCAGGAUAACUACUUGGAGGAGGCAAUGAAAGUAAGGAAUUUACUUGAAGAAUUUCGUGGUAACCAUGGAAUACGCUAUCCCACAAUUCUUGGUGUGCGGGAGCAUGUAUUUACGGGAAGUGUGUCUUCGCUGGCAUCAUUUAUGUCUAAACAGGAAACCAGUUUCGUUACUUUGGGGCAACGUGUUCUUGCUUUCCUCAAGGUUCGAAUGCACUAUGGGCAUCCUGAUGUCUUUGAUCGGAUAUUUCAUAUAACCAGAGGUGGUAUUAGCAAGGCAUCCCGGGUGAUCAAUAUAAGUGAAGAUAUAUACGCUGGAUUCAAUUCAACUCUGCGCCAGGGUAAUAUCACACACCAUGAAUAUAUCCAGGUUGGGAAAGGACGUGAUGUUGGUUUAAACCAGAUUGCCCUGUUCGAGGGGAAAGUUGCUGGAGGUAACGGCGAGCAAGUUCUUAGUCGAGACGUGUACCGUUUGGGGCAGCUGUUUGACUUCUUUAGGAUGCUAACCUUCUUCUACACCACUGUUGGUUAUUAUGUCUGCACAAUGAUGACUGUUCUAACUGUGUAUAUUUUCUUGUAUGGGAGGGUGUAUCUGGCACUCUCUGGACUCGACCAUUCGAUAUCUCGUCAAGCUAGGUUUCUGGGGAACACUGCCCUUGAUGCUGCUCUGAACGCUCAAUUUUUGGUUCAGAUUGGAAUUUUUACAGCCGUACCAAUGAUAAUGGGUUUCAUUUUGGAAUUAGGGCUAAUGAAGGCUAUUUUCAGUUUUAUCACAAUGCAACUGCAGUUCUGCUCAGUAUUUUUCACCUUUUCACUUGGAACUAGAACACAUUAUUUUGGGAGAACAAUCCUUCAUGGUGGUGCGAAGUAUCGUGCUACUGGACGAGGUUUUGUUGUUCGCCACAUAAAGUUUGCUGACAAUUAUAGGCUGUAUUCUCGAAGCCACUUUGUGAAAGCGCUUGAGGUUGCUCUCCUGCUUAUUGUCUACAUUGCUUAUGGCUACACGAAGGGCGGGUCAUCGUCCUUUAUUCUGUUGACUAUCAGUAGUUGGUUCAUGGUUAUAUCCUGGCUCUUUGCGCCAUACAUUUUCAACCCUUCUGGUUUCGAGUGGCAAAAAACUGUUGAGGACUUUGAUGACUGGACAAAUUGGUUAUUUUAUAAAGGUGGAGUUGGUGUGAAGGGCGAAAAUAGUUGGGAAUCUUGGUGGGAUGAGGAGCAGGCACAUAUCCAGACUUUUAGGGGACGAAUCCUUGAGACUAUCCUGAGCCUCAGAUUUCUCUUGUUCCAGUAUGGCAUUGUGUACAAGCUUAAAAUUACUGGACAUAAUACAUCUCUGGCAAUUUAUGGCUUCUCGUGGAUUGUACUUCUUGUUAUUGUCCUCCUAUUCAAGCUUUUCACCGCAACUCCGAGGAAGUCAACUGCCUUGCCGAUAUUUAUUCGGUUUCUACAGGGCCUCCUUGCAAUUGGCAUCAUUGCAGCAAUUGCAUGCCUGAUUGGAUUUACAGACUUCACAAUUGCUGAUUUGUUUGCAAGUGCGCUAGCAUUCUUAGCAACCGGAUGGUGCAUCUUAUGUCUGGCCAUCACAUGGAGGCGCGUGGUGAAGACACUCGGGCUGUGGGACUCUGUCCGCGAGAUCUCCCGGAUGUACGACGCUGGGAUGGGCGCCGUCAUCUUCGCGCCCAUCGUGUUCUUCUCGUGGUUCCCCUUUGUGUCCACCUUCCAGUCGCGUAUCCUGUUCAACCAGGCCUUCAGCCGUGGUCUGGAGAUCUCCCUCAUCCUGGCGGGGAACAAGGCGAACCAGGAGUCGUGA